GUGAGGAAUAUUGGUCAAUGGACGAGAGUCUGAACCAGCCAAGUCGCGUGAAGGAAGACGGUUCUAUGAAUUGUAAACUUCUUUUGUGCAGGAAUAAAGUGGGUUACGUGUAACCUUUUGUAUGUACUGUACGAAUAAGGAUCGGCUAACUCCGUGCCAGCAGCCGCGGUAAUACGGAGGAUCCGAGCGUUAUCCGGAUUUAUUGGGUUUAAAGGGUGCGUAGGUGGAUUGAUAAGUCAGCGGUGAAAGUUUGCAGCUUAACUGUAAAAUUGCCGUUGAAACUGUCGGUCUUGAGUGCAAAUGAGGUAGGCGGAAUGUGUUGUGUAGUGGUGAAAUGCUUAGAUAUAACACAGAACUCCGAUUGCGAAGGCAGCUUACUGGGAUGCAACUGACACUGAUGCACGAAAGCGUGGGUAUCAAACAGGAUUAGAUACCCGUGUAGUCC
rnacentral:rRNA from 1 species